rnacentral:rRNA from 1 species
GACGAACGCUGGCGGCGUGCCUAACACAUGCAAGUCAAGGAGAAUGGGGUAGCAAUAUCCCUAGUAAACUGGCGCACGGGUGAGUAACACGCAGGCAACCUGCCUAUAGGACGGGGAUAACUCAGCGAAAGCUGGACUAAUACCCGAUAAUGCAGCGGCACCGCAUGGUGAUGUUGUUAACGCCCGAAAGGGCGCCUAUAGAUGGGCCUGCGUCCCAUUAGGUAGUUGGUGAGGUAACGGCCCACCAAGCCUACGAUGGGUAGCUGGUCUGAGAGGAUGAUCAGCCACACUGGAACUGAGACACGGUCCAGACUCCUACGGGUGGCAG